CUCUCUUUCUUUCUCUCAAACCUCUGGUGUCUGCCAGAGUUUCUAUUCAUUUAAUCAUUUAUAACUAUAUGUUGAUUAUCUUGAAUAUUUUGGCCAUUAUAUUCUGGGUCUUUUCAAAUUGAAUGAAUAUAUGUUGAACUGUUUUCCAAGAGGAAGCAAGAUUGGGGAACAAAGAAAAAAUCAAACUCUGUAAUUAGGGUUUUAGAGAGACACAGUAAUAUGGACCAUGGCCUUCGUCCCAGACAGAGGGAGUUCUUCAUUGGCUUCACAAAGGGCCAGUUGCAGCUCUGCUGAUCUCCAAAAGCCAGCUGAACUGGAUGGGAAGGCAUGUGCAGCUGUUGGACAGCCUGAUCUGAUGGCUCUCUUUAAGUCCGUGUUUAGUGAGAAUGUGACACAAGCUUAGUGUCUUGUCACAGAAAGUGACUUUAGGGGUAAAGAUUUUCAAAGGCAGCUGAAAGAAAUGGUCGAUCACUUGCUGUCUUUAAGGACUAUACCUAUAUUCAAUGAAAAUGAUGCAGUUAGUACCAGAACAGAUUUAUGUGAGGAUUCUUCUGGUAUAUUUUGGGACAAUGACAGUUUGGCAGCUAUACUAGCUAAGGAGCUAAAGGCUGAUCUUCUUAUCCUUAUGAGUGAUGUGGAGGGUCUCUACAGUGGGCCUCCCAAGUGACACAAAUUCAGAGCUCAUUCAUUCAUACAUACAUAAAGGAGAGGCAUCAAGGCGGAGUCACUUGUGGAGUAAAAUCAAGAAUGGGACGAGGGGAAUGGCUGCGAAAGUAAAGGCUGCUGUUGAUGCAGCUUCGCAUCCCUGUUGUCAUCACCAGGUGUUCUUCAAGACUUGGUUGGUGUCAUCAUUUUAUGAAAUUUUGUUAGAAAACAUAUGUAUGAAUGAUUAACUAU